rnacentral:rRNA from 1 species
AUUGAACGCUGGCGGCAGGCCUAACACAUGCAAGUCGAGCGAGCGGCGGACGGGUGAGUCAUGUCAGGGAAACUGCCUGAUGGAGGGGGAUAACUCCUGGAAACGGUAGCUAAUACCGCAUACCAUCAGAUGUGCCCAGAUGUGAUUAGCUGGUAGGGGGGGUAACGGAUCACCGAGGCGACGAUCCCUAGCUGGUCUGAGAGGAUGACAAGCCACACUGGAACUGUGACACGGUCCAUACUCCUACGGGAGGCAGCAGUGGGGAAUAUUGCACAAUGGGCGCAAGCCUGAUGCAGCCAUGCCGCGUGUAUGAAGAAGGCCUUCGGGUUGUAAAGUACUUUCAGCGGGGAGGCGUUACCCGCAGAAGAAGCACCGGCUAACUCCGUGCCAGCCGCCGCGGUAAUAC